rnacentral:pre_miRNA from 1 species
UACAUGAGACAAAACAUUGACACACCUGGGCUACAUUCUGCCCAGGUGUGUCAAUAUUUCGUCUCAUAUA